rnacentral:lncRNA from 1 species
GGGAAAGAAGGUCAGAUUAACCCCGAAAAAAGUGAUCCAAAAAUGGAUUUGCCCUAAAGUUUCAGGGUAUGUCCGACCAAAGAUUUUACCCACCCAAUAGUGAAAUCCUGCAAAUAAAGCAAAAACGGCUCCCAUAGAAAGUACAUAAUGGAAAUGUGCAACCACAUAAUAAGUAUCAUGUAGAGCAAUGUCUAGCCCAGAAUUUGCCGGGACUAUUCCAGUGAGUCCUCCUAUAGUGAACAAAAAGAUGAACCCUACAGCAAAUAACAUGGGUGUUUUGUAUUGUAUCGAACCCCCCCACAUGGUAGCGAUCCAACUAAAGAUUUUGAUUCCAGUGGGGACAGCUAUGAUCAUGGUAGCUGCGGUGAAGUAGGCACGGGUAUCAACGUCUAAGCCCACAGUAAACAUAUGAUGAGCCCAAACAAGAAAUCCAAGAACACCUAUACUGAUCAUGGCAUAAACCAUGCCUAGAUACCCGAAGACCGGUUUUCCCGAAAAAGUCGAAACGAUAUGACUUAUGAUACGGAUCCAGGCAGAAUGGGAAUAUACACCUCUGGAUGACCGAAAAACCAAAAGAGAUGCUGGUAUAAUAUGGGGUCUCCCCCUCCAGCGGGAUCAGAAAAGGUUGUAUUAAAGUUUCGAUCGGUUAAUAACAUGGUAAUUGCCCCCGCCAGUACCGGAAGUGAUAAUAAAAGUGGGAAUGCUGUCACUAGAACGGACCACACAAAUAGGGGUGAUCUAUGCAUAGUCAUUCCAGGUCCACGCAUGUUGGAGAUUGUUGUUAUAAAAUUGAUAGAACCUAAAAUGGAUGAAACACCAGAUAGAUGAAGACUAGAAAUUGCUGAAUCAACUGCUCCUCCAGAAUGGCUGGUAAUACCACUUAAGGGCGGAUAGACCGUCCACCCAGUGCCGCUACCCACUUCUACUAAGGCUGAGCUUAAUAGGAGCAAGAGACUUGGUGGCAACAACCAGAAUGAAAUAUUAUUUAAUCGUGGAAAUGCCAUGUCAGGUGCACCUAUCAGAAUCGGAACAGACCAAUUACCAGAUCCACCUAUCAUCGCCGGCAUAACCAUAAAAAAGAUCAUUAAAAAAGCGUGAGCCGUUAUUAAAACAUUAUAAAGUUGAUGAUUCCCACCAAGAAUUUGAUCGCCGGGACGUGCUAAUUCCAUACGAAUCAGUACUGAGAAGCAUGUGCCCAUCACUCCAGCAAUGGCACCGAAGAUGAAAUAGAGAGUCCCUAUAUCCUUGUGGUUAGUGGAGAACAGCCAUCGAACCGGAUUUGUCAUAAAAUUGAGAUUCUUUCGUUUCCUUCCUUAUCAGAGAGGGGCCCCUUAGGGAGCGGGGCUUCUUUAUUGAAAAAGGGGGAGUGAGGGGGGAAGGAGCGAAGCGAAAGCGGGGGUCCGGAAAGCCCUUACUUUAUUGAUGGGACAUUUUGAUCCCCUUUUCCUCUCACCCCCCGUUCUGGUUCAGGAUUCAGGAAAGGGUCAACGCAAGGAUCUUACUUCGAAGCAAUCUCUGGAGUUUUCCCUUAUCCGAACGGGUCUUGCAAGAAAAUAGGAUUUCAUAUUGAGCUCCAAAUAUACGCUAUUGGGAUAGGAUGGCUCCUACUAUAUCUCCCCCCCCCUAAGAACCGCACGUGCGAGUUCCCCCGCAUACGGCUCAAGUGGCGAAGGCACUUUCCUUCGCGCUUGAUAAGCGCUUCGCUGUAGCCAAGCUUACUGCUAGCCUAUCGGCUAGAGCCAAGCUUCGACCGCGACUGCUCGUCGCUUCUGGCCGCCUUAUUCCGUCACCCGAGAUCCAAGUCAGCACCGGAAAAAAGAUCUUGAUUCCUCGCGGCCGGGCCGGCUUGGAAGCAAGCUACUUGUCGCCUAUCUCACCCCCUUUCUUAUUAUUAGUAAGAUAGGGUGCCCCUUUCUCUAAUAAUAAGGUAAGCUUCCCUGAAUUCCGCUGGGUGAGCCUUCGCUUUUUGGAUCGUCUUCUGCCCAAUGCGGUACCCUCCCGUUUGUUUUUAGGUUCCCAUUGGGUUUACCUUGUUUACAGGUCGAUCCCAUGGCAGCAAGAAAAGGUGAUCUUGUGCUAUACUCCGGUGAUCUCUUUCCUACCGAGGCACGCAAACUCCCAUCGUGUCCCAGAUCACAUUUCGUGAAUCGAAAGGGGAAGCCUCCUCAUCCAUCAGCUCCUCUCGUAGAUCAGUGCGGUUUUACGAAGCGUCUAAGCACAGUUCACUCGCGUUGAUCAAUCAAGAGCUUUGCCGCCACUCCUUAAGGUUACCUGUUGUAUCAUACACUUCUUGCAUUCUUUCCCACGCUUCAUACCCCCCUCUAGCUUCCCCACGGAGCGGUAAGGUAAAGGGCCAGGCAUGGUGGGGUAGGAGCAUCCUGUCAGCAAUCUUUUUGGCUUGACCAAGAAGUCUUAUGUCCUCCGAGUCGCGCGGCGUUUUAACCGAAAGAACUUCUUGCGCAAUUCAUGCCUUUCUGUUUUUAUGACCAGAAAUUUUUUCUUGAUUUCCAUUUCAAAUUGUUCUCUGGACUUUUUAUCAAUAUGAGGUGAUCGUAACACAGUAUAUAAGACUCGUGAUUCAGGCAAUCCAAUCUUUCGUGUGUAAGGCGGAAGCGCCUGGUUUUCCAAAAAUGGGUGAUCAAAAGAUCGAAUCACUAUGCGUAUCUUGGUGGUCGUUACUUUUUGGUGGUCUUUCUUUUCUUUUUGGCUGACUCCUCCUACUCCUCCUUCUCUUAUCCUCUAUAUAGCUCGUCGUUGGUCCUUUUUUUUUACAUAACAUUCUCAGCCGCUCAAGAGUCAAGAGACUGACUAUCUCUCUCUUUACGCAAUUUCAAAAAUGAAGUAGCAGAGUGACUACUGAUUUUGGACGCGCUGAGUUAUUUAAGCAAAGCCUUUUUUGAUCUUGUUAUUCUAAAUUAUUUUAUUGUCUUUGCUCAACUUCGUCGAGCCUUGUACCCAGGUACACGGAACACUAACAGAAUCUCUGUUCAAACAAAAACGACAAGCAAACCCGAAAACUAAAGGGUCACCUUCUCUAGCAAGCAAGUAGACUUUCUCUGAGCCCCAGGGUAGCAAAGCUAGCUCUUCGUAUCAUUGGCAUUGGGCAGGUGAACGGGAACCUGGCUACACAACUACUCUUACUCUAGCAGAGGAUCUAGUUCCACACCAAUCUGCUUAUCUUAUAUAAGAUAAAAUAUAUAAACUUAGCGUACCUACAACCGCUUGUGCCCUUGCUUUAGCUACUUACUCGGGAACUAGCUUCGCACCUCACCCCGGGAACUCAAGGGUGCGUAGCUUGCUUGUUAAAGGGGUGUUUCCGUUCCUCCGUUGUGGGAUAGUUUUUCCCUAGUUCGGUCCUAUAAGAAGAGUUCUCUAGACAUCAACUCAUGGUACUCCCCGGGCCCCUAACAACAAAACUCCUAGGUUAGCUACAGCAGUUCUAGCAUCAGCUUCUCGAGGGCCUAAAAGAACCUCUUUCGUCAUUCGAAAGUGGCAUUUUAGCUCCUUUUCGUGAAACAGAUCGGAGAUCAGGUCUUAUCGAUUCAUACGAUUUUCAUACGUCUUUUUCCCACAUUAAUAAACCCCUUUUUUCUUUAACAUGCUAGUGCCCAGAUCUUCUUCUUUUGUCUUUUGCCUGCCUUUAGGUAGCGGCAUGGAAGUCCCCCUUCUUCUCAAGCAGGAAAGCCCGCGUAUUCUUAUUCUAAUGUCCAUUGGAGCUUCUCUUUUCUUCCCGCUAUCUGGCUGUUCUAUUUAGACGUCUGUUCCCCAGUCUUACUUUCUCAUGCCCGCUUUCGCUUCGCUCCUUUCUACUUCUGUUACAGUAGCUAUAGUUGUAAUGGCGGUUAUGCAGGUCCCCUUCUCAUUGAGUAGCCUAUACUCUGGAAUUGAAGUAGCGAAAUCGGCCUUAGCAUAGAACGUUUACCGCUUGCCUUACUAUUACUAAUAAUCGGGAAUCAGAACAGGCAACUAUGAGACUAAUUUAUCAUUGCCCCGAGCAAGUUACUGCGUACCUGAAGUGAGUGUGCCCAUCUUGGUCUCCUUUCUUUUUUCUUUGCAGCUGCCAUAAAGUAAAGCCUUAGAUUCUAACAGGAAUCUCACCGCCUGCUCCCCUUAUAAUUAUAAGAUACUCGCUACUAAGGUUCUGAAAGAAGGCAGCUAAAUCAGCAAUAGAAGAGAACUCCAGAUCUAUGAAUAGCCAACAAAGAGCCUAGCUUUAUUACUGGAACUAAACAGCAAGCUGCUCCUACCUUACUUAUCGAGAAGGAGUACUUGGACUGAGUAGACUUCUUGUAGUUCUCUUUCCCCUAGCAACCUUUCCUGCUUUCCCGGUUGCAAGGUUUCGAGCUAACUACAGGAUUUGCUUCCUAGCUAAUAAUACUAAUUAGUAGUAUUGAACUUCGAACUAAAGAUUUUUUUAGUUAACGGGCGGGUAAGGGCAAUGAAGGAAGCCGUUAGGCUUGAGACGAAACGGAUUCUAUGGAUUGAGUCUGGCAGUGAUGUUAGUUAAGUCCACUACCUGGGGCUUGUCUUGCUUGAGAACCCGUUUGGAACAAUCUGGAUUUUCCCCUUGUGAGUCACUCGAAUUCUUCUAUUUAUCAUUCUUUCAUGAAUAGAAAGAGAAAGAUCUCCGCUUCGUCUUUCUUCCAAAAAAGAUCCCAAGCCAUUGAUAUUGGUCAUGCGUGGGCUUUCACUCAAUCUUUCACUAUGAUAUGAAAGGCAAGCAGGAAUUUCACCACUAAUGGGCCAGCGCUUGGCGCUUACUCUAGCCCGUGUUUCUAGGAUACACCUAUUAAUUAUAUAUAAUAGUUUCCCCGAUAUUCGUGGCUUUCCCCUUACUUAUUACUUAUAAGUAGAUCGGUUGAGAUAAGUAGAUUGGUUGAGGCCCGACCCUUUCCUUUGGGGUUGCCGACCUUGAUGCCAUAGUGUUUAGGGGGCUGAGCGGGAAACCAACACGUUGUGGAAACGGAAUAGAGCUUUUCCCUUGAUGGAUGUUAUCCAAUAAAAGCACACAAUCAGUGAGAUGAGCCUGCCAGCUCAGCCUUGGCCCUAUGCCUUUUGGCCAGCUUGACUUCUGACCGGUCGAUCCCGCCCCCUCUUGCAACGAUUCGGCGCCUCCACUUGAUGCUUGACGCCCACGCUUCGUUCAGGCAGCGCUCCUCGGAUAUGUCUUGCCAAUCGCCAGAGCNAGUCCUCCGUCGCGGGUUUUGGUAUACACCCCUCAACCCUUAUUAACUAUAUUUACUAUUGUAAGGUAAGGAAAUCAUCUCAGUUAACAGCGCAUAUGCGACAGCGCAUCAUAGACAUCAUUUCUUAUACCAAAAUUGCUUAUAGUAAGCAAAGCAAGGAAUCUGAAUUCUAUCUGACUAGUGUCUCUCAUUAAGCUAUAUAGGUUUUGAAAAGCCAGCGCCCAAAGAGCUUUCAACCUUAGGGUCAAGCCGGUCUCCGUCUAGCAGAGUAGAAACCGAUCGAUCACUUGAGGACGCGCUAAGAACCUUUUCUCGCUUGUGAAGCCGCCUAUAAAAAAUAGAUAUCUAGAAAGUGUGCCAUGAGUGAGGAUAUCGAGAUUGGGUUCGUUUUUAGUCUUAGUAUGAGAUGCCCAAGAUAAAAGAACGAGGAGAAGAAUCGACAAGGAAAUGUUCUUUCAAACAAAAAAUUCCCCAAAUCCCAUUUCUUUCUCGGUUGGAAAACCCAACCGGCUAUUUCCGGCUUCCUUGAGAAGGUUUGAAGCGGAGUGCAUUUCUUCACCAUGAGGUUUAGUUUAGGAAGUGGUGGCUCAGGUUUUUCGGCUGUAAUGGAUGAGACUGCUCUUCUCACUAGCCACGGGUCAUGCGAGAACAAAGAAAGAAGGGACGAUUCGCGAGUGAGGCGGGGAAUAAUCCAUAGAAAGGCAUCAAAGGAAUGAAAGGGCAGACAACCAUCCUGGCCUGGUUGAGAUCGAGGUUGAUGAUUAAAGAGCAGCAAACAGAAGAAGCGGUUUGAGGAGAAGUAUCAUCAUCAGCCAAUGGAGAGUCAGCCGAAAAGGAAUCUUCCUUUGAAAGGGGUUAUCGGUAGGGAAGGCAUUCCAUUCAAAAUCAGCCGAGUCAGGGAUAUAGGGCAUCCGAAUACGUUGAAUCACCCGCCAAACGCCAAAUCAGCAUACGCAUAGGAGCAAGAACACGGAUGCAUUCCACAGUGUAGGUAGCCGUUCUCAGUCCACAGAUCCGGGUUAGCAGUCAUCGAGUGCAGUCAAGAGUGAAGAAAGACAUGUCAUUAAAAGAGAGAUUGGUUUAUGAGUUCAGGACGUGGCCCUCGGGUGAGGUUUUCGACUGAACGGAUCUAACAACCGCUGCCACCCCUCAAUGUUGUGGAACCGCCCUUUUCUUUUGGUCCUUCUUAUGAUCCUUUUCAUUUCUCUGGGUGGGUUAUAUCCUAAUUUUCCGUACCUGAACCUCUAACAAGGUAUCAAAGAUGUUCACAAUAGAGAGAGGUGCGCAAACCUUCAAAUAUUGCAUAUUCCCUCACUCAGUUAAUAAACUAACUGCCUCACUCCAGAACUCGAGCAAGAACUUUCACCUCAUUUGCAAGUGGAAUUGAACAAAACGGACUAAAAGCAACCUUCGCCAUCGCGGAUAGGUCCUGUCCUCCCUUACCGCUCCGUGGGGAAGCAGAGCUACAAGGGUCCGAAGUAAGAAAUUACCUUAACUAAAGCAUUGAACUCAACUUCGUCGACCCUCUUUCUUUUUCUGAAUCCCGUAGUGAGGGGAAGAGAAAGCUAUUUAUUACCUUUGAUUCCUUCUUGCUGGUCCUCCUUCUAGUCUAGUGGGAUGGAAGCGAGGAUCUGAAGAAUCAGACUAUGAUCUCACGAACCUGUCUGACUGCGAGUUAGUCUAAGGCCGGACGGGACCGGCAUGGAAGACUUCUUUUCCAGAAAACAAGGCAAGUAAUGCAAGACAAGCCCAGAUCAAACGGAAUCCCAAAGCACAUGAGGAUAUGGGACUUUGCCGGGUAUUCCUUCUCUUGAUAGCGGAAUCUAAUUAAUAGAAUUUUUGCUUCUUGUUCACUCUCUCACUAUCUGAACUUGAAGGUUAAGUUUGUGUUCCGUGUAUCCAACGAAUGGGACAGGUAAUAUGGAAUAUUCUGUAGAAUCCUAAGUUUGUAUCAAGAAAGCUAUUCUCCGGUCUAGGAGUUCAGGGUAGAGAGGAGGAUGUUGGUGAAGGGCCGAGCAGGAACAGUUUGUUUGACAAUGAAUUGAAUCCCAUCCUUUCUGAGCGGAAAAGCAGACACGUCUACACAAUUAGUGGCUUGUUGAGCCCUAGAUUUCAGGAAGGUACUGCCCUCUUAGGUAGGAUCCGGUACAUUAGGGAAACCCUUUCUAGUCAUCACUCCAUUCAUUCACUAGAAUAGUCCUCGUCGAGUAGAAAGAAACCACUGCCUUACCUGGAAAUAGACUGAAGUAGAUCUCUCCUUGAUUGAAGGACACCGCCAGUGGAAUCUAAAUCUCCCUCGGUUUGCCAUAUAGGACAGCAGCCCAGAAAAUGCUUCCAUAACCAAAACAAAGAUGUAUGGCGACAUAGGGUCGCCCUGUCUCAACCCUCUCUCCCCAGGAAAGAAACCAUUCAGCUCCCCAUUAAUGCUUAUAUAGAACCGAGGAGUGGAGAUGCAUUCCCUGAUCCAUUGCACUACCCUCUCCGGAAAGCCCAGGAUGUUCAGGACUACGCCUACAAAGUCCCAUCUAACUGUGUCGUAGGCCUUCAUCAAAUUCACUUUGAGGGCGCAACUGUGCACUUAUUCCUGUGAUAAUUUCGAAGGAGCUUCUGGGCAUACCCCUUCUUUGCUACAAGUCGAGCCUUAUGCCUUUAAAUCGACCCAUCAGCUAGAUACUUUAUACACCCGAGCGAGUGACUAAACGAGACUCCAUCCAAACCUCAACCAACCGCUUGUUUACCUGCAGGCAACUCAAGGACGAUCCCAAGUAUCAUUUUUCUUUCUCUUUCUUUUUAAGGGAAGGGUAUUUUAAAAAGAAUUUACCAAAGAAAUACAUCUUAUCAACCGGGUGACCGAUUCCCUUUCGUCUCUGCAAACAUGGGCGGUGAGAGGGAAGGAUAAGAAUUGGUUCACCCGGUUGGACCAUCCCCAUGAUACGGAAUCUGCUUUUCUUCUUCGAAUUAGCCUCAAAGGGAGCUCAGAAGACCCCGUCUAUUGUGGUUUAUACAUAUAUUAUAUAACCUAUGGCUGGCCGGCCUUCUGUUUCGAAGAAUGGAAUCUUAGUUAAAAGAAGCAUGUCGGCAUCAGCUGAGGAAAGGGUUGGCUGGGGUGGGGAAGAUGCCUCAAGAAACCAUUUAACAUUCUUCGAGUAUUUCGAAGAGCAUUUUCUACAUUUUGUAUUUCAACGUUAAUUUCAGCAAGUCGCUGGGCCAUGGCUUCUCGAUAUACACUGGUAGAAAACUCUUUUCUUUUUUUUUAUAAGUGCAGUCCUUCUGUGUGUAGAACAUUGGCUCUAGCGUCCAAUGGGUGCACCUGAUCCAGUUCAGUUGGAACAGUCACCUGCUUUCAUUGGCGGGGAGCUGACUGAAGUCUCCCUAGUUGACGACAAUGGUCAACCUGUCACGACCGUAGUGGGUCAAAUAGAAAUAGCCUUAUAUGUUAUGUUCUUCUAUUUGUUUCUUAUUCCUUUAGAAAAGAUCCUAUGGAUAAGACACCCGUAUUUAGGUAUCGGCCGUACCUACCUCCGCCGCGGCGGUGUGCGCGAGAAAAGGGCGCGCUAGUAUACAUGAAGUAGGCGUAGUAAACAGCUACAAAGACGGUCCACCUUUUCGUAGAGGAAGACUAUAACUAUAGAAGAAAGACUGGUUCUAUCACGUAGUUCAUGGCCCCCAUGGGGAAUGAGAACAGAGACAUAGCAUCUUCUUUCUUACAGCGCCCGAAGGAUACCGGACUACGACCCGACAUAAAUGCCAGUGGGUGCUAUGUAGGCUCAUUGGUCCGCCGCUUUGUUGAUUGACAAGCUAUGUCAAAGAGAUCAUUCUCUUGGCCAUUUCUCUACGCAAUGACACGACUCUCUAUAUAUGAUAAUUGGUUGAAGACAGACUAGUCAUCUACUACAAGUCCCGUGUUCCACCAUCGAGUAGUGGUCUACUAGAGUCAAUUCCAUCUUGGCUAUGCGCAUUUCCUGCCUUGAGUUGAUAGAAAGGUGCUUACGCCGUUAAGGUUGCCUCCCCAGGCCCCAAGGGGCGAGGGUUUAGUGGCCCACGACAGCCAAUCCGUCCACUCUUGGCAGGCAAUGACAGACCUGAGAAUGAAGACAGACUAGUAUCAAUUCGAAUCUGAGUUAGGCGAAGCAGUCAGUCGCGCCACUUCAACUUCACACCCGAGACGAAAGCGCAGCGCAAGCGGACGGGAGUAUUCGUUUCAGACAGAGCGAUCGCAGCAGCAGGUAUGCAUCAAGAUAGAAGGCAUGGAGUACUCACCAAGAGAACACGGCAUGGCUGGUGAAGAUUGGGCUUUGGCCCAUGAUGAUAGAUAAAAGAAGAGAGAGACAGUCCAAUUCAUACAGCUCCCAGACCCAGCAGACCCCGACCCCACUCCCAGUAUGACGACGCCCAUAUGACAUUUCUAUGGAUUGUAGCGUCAGAUCUAGUUCCUACUUUAGGCCACAGUUGACUAUAAGUAGGCUGUUAGCGAUCAAUGCUUGCCCUUCCUUGGGACUCUAAUACUUGUGGAAUCCUAUGGAGUCUGUAGUCUUUGACUCUGUCCUUUGGUGUUUCACGGUCUUCUUUGACUCAAAAGGGAUGCAAAUUAUGGAAUCCUCUCGAACGCUGUGAAGUGUUCCGAGACCAACACUCACAAUCACACCCCUGCACUAAAUGAGGUCGGUAUCGAAAGAAGGCAAGACUCAAAGCUGCCCCUUUUUUGAAGACGAGAAUUCCACUUCCUUUCUUAUGUUAAUUUGAAUUGCUUCCGAAAGAGUGAAAAUUAGUGGUAGUGGUUGGAUCAAAGGACAGAGUCAAAGACUACAGACAAGCGGCCCCUCCAUAGGAUUCCACAAGUAUUAGAGUCCCAAGGAAGGGCAAGCAGCAUUGAUCGCUAACAGCCUACUUAUAGUCAACUGUGGCCUAAAGUAGGAACUAGAUCUGACGCUACAAUCCAUAGAAAUGUCAUAUGGGCGUCGUCAUACUGGGAGUGGGGUCGGGGUCUGCUGGGUCUGGGAGCUGUAUGAAUUGGACUGUCUCUCUCUUCUUUUAUCUAUCAUCAUGGGCCAAAGCCCAAUCUUCACCAGCCAUGCCGUGUUCUCUUGGUGAGUACUCCAUGCCUUCUAUCUUGAUGCAUACCUGCUGCUGCGAUCGCUCUGUCUGAAACGAAUACUCCCGUCCGCUUGCGCUGCGCUUUCGUCUCGGGGUGUGAAGUUGAAGUGGCGCGACUGACUGCUUCGCCUAACUCAGAUUCGAAUUGAUACUAGUCUGUCUCAUUCUCAGGUCUGUCAUUGCCUGCCAAGAGUGGACGGAUUGGCUGUCGUGGGCCCACUAAACCCUCGCCCCUUGGGGCCUGGGGGGCAACCUUAACGGCGUAAGCACCUUUCUAUCAACUCAAGGCAGGAAAUGCGCAUAGCCAAGAUGGAAUUGACUCUAGUAGACCACUACUCGAUGGUGGAACACGGGACUUGUAGUAGAUGACUAGUCUGUCUUCAACCAAUUAUCAUAUAUAGAGAGUCGUGUCAUUGCGUAGAGAAAUGGCCACUAAGAGAAUGAUCUCUUUGACAUAGCUUGUCAAUCAACAAAGCGGCGGGACCAAUGAGCCUACAUAGCACCCACUGGCAUUUAUGUCGGGUCGUAGUCCGGUAUCCUUCGGGCGCUGUAAGAAAGAAGAUGCUAUGUCUCUGUUCUCAUUCCCCAUGGGGCCAUGAACUACGUGAUAGAACCAGUCUUUCUUCUAUAGUUAUAGUCUUCCUCUACGAAAAGGUGGAACACCGUCUUUGUAGCUGUUUACUACGCCUACUUCAUGUAUACUAGCGCGCCCUUUUCUCGCGCACACCGCCCGCGGCGGAGGUAGGUACGGCCGAUACCUAAAUACGGGUGUCUUAUCCAUAGGAUCUUUUCUAAAGGAAUAAGAACAAAUAGAAGAACAUAACAUAUAAGGCUAUUUCUAUUUGACCCACUACGGUCGUGACAGGUUGACCAUUGUCGUCAACUAGGGAGACUUCAGUCAGCUCCCCGCCAAUGAAAGCAGGUGACUGUUCCAACUGAACUGGAUCAGGUGCACCCAUUGGACGCUAGAGCCAAUGUUCUACACACAGAAGGACUGCACUUAUAAAAAAAGAAAAGAGUUUUCUACCAGUGUAUAUCGAGAAGCCAUGGCCCAGCGACUUGCUGAAAUUAACGUUGAAAUACAAAAUGUAGAAAAUGCUCUUCGAAAUACUCGAAGAAUGUUAAAUGGUUUCUUGAGGCAUCUUCCCCACCCCAGCCAACCCUUUCCUCAGCUGAUGCGACAUGCUUCUUUUAACUAAGAUUCCAUUCUUCGAAACAGAGGCCGGCCAGCCCAUAGGUUAUAUAAUAUAUGUAUAAACACAAUAGACGGGGUCUUCUGAGCUCCCUUUGAGGCUAAUUCGAAGAAGAAAAGCAGAUUCCGUAUCAUGGGAUGGUCCAACCGGGUGAACCAAUUCUUAUCCUUCCCCUCUCACCGCCCAUGUUUGCAGAGACGAAAGGGAAUCGGUCACCCCGGUUGAUAAGAUGUAUUCUUUGGUAAAUUCUUUUUAAAAUACCCUUCCCUUAAAAAGAAAGAGAAAGAAAAAUGAUACUUGGAUCGUCCUUGAGUUGCCUGCAGGUAAACAAGCGGUUGGUUGAGGUUUGGAUGGGAGUCUCGUUUAGUCACUCGCUCGGGUGUAUAAAGUAUCUAGCUGAUGGGUCGAUUUAAAGGCAUAAGGCUCGACUUGUAGCAAAGAAGGGGUAUGCCCAGAAGCUCCUUCGAAAUUAUCACAGGAAUAAGUGCACAGUUGCGCCUCAAAGUGAAUUUGAUGAAGCCUACGACACAGUUAGAUGGACUUUGUAGGCGUAGUCCUGAACAUCCUGGGCUUUCCGGAGAGGGUAUGUGCAAUGGACAGGGAAUGCAUCUCCACUCCUCGUUCUAUAUAAGCAUUAAUGGGGAGCUGAAUGGUUUCUUUCCUGGGGAGAGAGGGUUGGAGACAGGGCGACCCUAUGUCGCCAUACAUCUUGUUUUGGUUAUGGAAGCAUUUUCUGGGCUGCUGUCCUAUAUGGCAAACCGAGGAGAUUUAGAUUCCACUGGCGGUGUCCUUCAAUCAAGGAGAGAUCUACUUCAGUCUAUUUCCAGGUAAGGCAGUGGUUUCUUUCUACUCGACGAGGACUAUUCUAGUGAAUGAAUGGAGUGAUGACUAGAAAGGGUUUCCCCUAAUGUACCGGAUCCUACCUAAGAGGGCAGUACCUUCCUGAAAUCUAGGGCUCAACAAGCCACUAAUUGUGUAGACGUGUCUGCUUUUCCGCUCAGAAAGGAUGGGAUUCAAUUCAUUGUCAAACAAACUGUUCCUGCUCGGCCCUUCACCAACAUCCUCCUUCUCUACCCUGAACUCCUAGACCGGGAGAAUAGCUUUCUUUGAUCUACAAAACUUAGGAUUCUACAGAAUAUUCCAUGAUUACCUGUCCCAUUCGUUGGAUACACGGAACACAAACUUAACCUUCAAGUUCAGAUAGUGAGAGAGUGAACAAGAAGCAAAAAAUUCUAUUAAUUAGAUUCCGCUAUCAGAGAAGGAAUACCCGGCAAAGUCCAUAUCCUCUGUGCUUUGGGAUUCCGUUUGAUCUGGGCUUGUCUUGCAUUACUUGCCUGUUUUCUGGAAAAGAAGUCUUCCAUGCCGGUUCCCGUCCGGCCUUAGACUAACUCGCAGUCAGACAGGUUCGUGAGAUCAUAGUCUGAUUCUUCAGAUUCCUCGCUUCCAUCCCACUAGACUAGAAGGAGGACAGCAAGAAGGAAUCAAAGGUAAUAAAUAGCUUUCUCUUCCCUCACUACGGGAUUCAGAAAAAGAAAGAGGGUCGACGAAAGUUGAGUUCAAUGCUUUAGUUAAGGUAAUUUCUUACUUCGGACCCUUGUAGCUCUGCUUCCCCACGGGAGCCGGUAAGGGAGGACAGGACCUAUCCGCGAUGGCGAAGGUUGCUUUUAGUCCGUUUUGUUCAAUUCCACUUGCAAAUGAGGUGAAAGUUCUUGCUCGAGUUCUGGAGUGAGGCAGUUAGUUUAUUAAACUGAGUGAGGGGAAUAUGCAAUAUUUGAAGGUUUGCGCACCUCUCUCUAUUGUGAACAUCUUUGAUACCUUGUUAGAAGGUUCAGGUACGGAAAUUAGGAUAUAACCCACCCAGAGAAAUGAAAGGAUCAUAAGAAGGACCAAAGAAAAGGGCGGUUCCAACAACAUUGAGGGGUGGCAGCGGUUGUUAGAUCCGUUCAGUCGAAAACCUCACCCGAGGGCCACGUCCUGAACUCAUAAACCAAUUCUCUUUUAAUGACAUGUCUUUCUUCACUCUUGACUGCACUCGAUGACUGCUAACCCGGAUCUGUGGACUGAGAACGGCUACCUACACUGUGGAAUGCAUCCGUGUUCUUGCUCCUAUGCGUAUGCUGAUUUGGCGUUUGGCGGGUGAUUCAACGUAUUCGGAUGCCCUAUAUCCCUGACUCGGCUGAUUUUGAAUGGAAUGCCUUCCCUACCGAUAACCCUUUCAAAGGAAGAUUCCUUUUCGGCUGACUCUCCAUUGGCUGAUGAUGAUACUUCUCCUCAAACCGCUUCUUCUGUUUGCUGCUCUUUAAUCAUCAACCUCGAUCUCAACCAGGCCAGGAUGGUUUGUCUGCCCUUUCAUUCCUUUGAUGCCUUUCUAUGGAUUAUUCCCCCGCCUCACUCGCGAAUCGUCCCUUCUUUCUUUGUUCUCGGCAUGACCCGUGGCUAGUGAGAAGAGCAGUCUCAUCCAUUACAGCCGAAAACCUGAGCCACCACUUCCUAAACUAAACCUCAUGGUGAAGAAAUGCACUCCGCUUCAAACCUUCUCAAGGAAGCCGGAAAUAGCCGGUUGGGUUUUCCAACCGAGAAAGAAAUGGGAUUUGGGGGAAUUUUUGUUUGAAAGAACAUUUCCUUGUCGAUUCUUCUCCUCGUUCCUUUUAUCUUGGGCAUCUCAUACUAAGACUAAAAACGAACCCAAUCUCGAUAUCCUCACUCAUGGCACACUUUCUAGAUAUCUAUUUUUUAUAGGCGGCUUCACAAGCGAGAAAGGUUCUUAGCGCGUCCUCAAGUGAUCGAUCGGUUUCUACUCUGCUAGACGGAGACCGGCUUGACCCUAAGGUUGAAAGCUCUUUGGGCGCUGGCUUUUCAAAACCUAUAUAGCUUAAUGAGAGACACUAGUCAGAUAGAAUUCAGAUUCCUUGCUUUGCUUACUAUAAGCAAUUUUGGUAUAAGAAAUGAUGUCUAUGAUGCGCUGUCGCAUAUGCCUGUUAACUGAGAUGAUUUCCUUACCUUACAAUAGUAUAUAUAGUUAAUAAGGGGUUGAGGGGUGUAUACCAAAACCCGCGACGGAGGACUGAUCUCCUUCUUCCUAGAAGCAUCAAAUCUUCCGAUGUCUUUGUAAGAAACAAUAGUCAAUUGAGCCACGGGAAAGCUUGAAGAUCGGAAAGCACCCUUUUGAAUAGCAAAUUAAACGCCUCGGACCAUUCAUUUCUAGCCCCUCCGAUCUAUAGUAACUAGCCUCUCUGUCCCGCUCCGUGGGCUUCUAUACUCUCUCGUCCGUUUAGGUCAAUAGUGACUAUACUAUCCCCUCUGGGCACGGGAAAGACAUUUCUUCAAUUAACAUGACUUCUGGUGACCAAGCAAAAAUAGUAAUAGAAAAGAACGCAAUGGAUCUUUAUUGUUAAUUGAAGAAAUUCCAUCAAGCGAAGAUUCCCUUCUCCAUGUGUCAAAUGAAUCAACAAUUAUCAUUGCUUCACUCGCAGGCGCAUCCACGGGACACCCAUCCCAGACCACAGCUUCGGAUUAAUUAGUAGGAGUAGGAGUCGAAAGCAGCACGGGAGCUAUUAGCCUUAGGUUCGGAAAGCAUAUUCUUUAUAGAAUAUGAAUAUUCAACGGUUGCUUACGCUAAUAUGAGAAAAGGUUAGGGAAUGACUAAAGAAGAACCACAUGAAUAGGUAAACCCCUUCUUUACUAUUCUUUUAUUCUUUUUUGUUGAUUGGGUUAUGCCCUUUUCGUGCUGGCUAAGAUUGAGAAUACGACUCAAACUCCUAAGCCAACAUAUUCUGAUUGAUUGGCUUUCUGGGUCACAGGGUGCUGCGAUUGAUGACUUUACUGCAGGUGUGCCCUCCCUUUCACUUCUACAGGAAGAAAGAUCAGCCGGGAUUCAAUAGAGAGUUCAUGCCAAAGGGUAUACUACGAGAAUUUUUUUUCAUUAAGCUUCCACAAUCGAUUCGUGAGCACAGACGAUUUGAUAAAAGAGGAUUUCCUUGAUUCAUUAUUCUAACGGUAUAGAAGGGGAUCCUCGGUGUCAAACAGACGAACAGUUCGUCGGUCGGGCUUACUUAUUCUGUAGGCGGGUUGCCUCUUCUUAGUAGACCCUUUUUUACUCUAAUCCCCUUAUGUUUAGUAAAGGAAAGACGAAUAGCUUCAAAGCUUCCUUGGGGUGAUAAUAAAAGAGAAUCUUGGCUACUCACCGCCUAGCUUCCCUUCUUCCUAAUGGACUACGAGGACCCUAGGACUGAGGACUCUUAGAAAGAAGGAUUACCGUCUUGCGUACCGUACUGGCUUAUACCCUUAUUAAGAACAGACUGGCUAACUUCCUGGCUUUUUUUAUUCAAAGAAGGCAAAGAAGGAGAGGAAAGCACAGACACAGACGGGAAGGGCCCUAACGAAAUGGAGUACUUACGCCCNAAUUCUUGAAGCUGCUGAUGUCCCAGCCAUGACCGGUGUCUCCGCUAUCGGUUUCCGUGAUCUAAUCGGCAAGAGCCUUCAUCCAAAGACUCACUGGAGCAUGAAGAAAUCAAAGUCUACACUACGUAAUUCUCGGGAGAAUUUGUUGCGUGAUUCUGAUGAUCAAUCGGACGGUUGUGAUUCGACGACUUCGUCAUCAUCAUCGGCAACAACUGCUUUAAAGGAGUGGAAUGGGAUAAUGCGGGAAUUGGAGAGGACGAAUCAUGUAAGGUCUUCAUCAGACGGUGGAAGAUUGCUUUGCGGAUUGGGGUUGUCGCCAAGGAAGUCUGCUUGUCUGCUUGCUCUGGUAGCUGGUCCCUAGCUGCUGGUAGAGGGAUAGAUUAGGAGGGAUUUUGAAUCUUGCUUAUUGACUGAAUUUCCGGUACCGGGGUUCAUCAAAGUUCGGGAGAAGCGUAUGGAUGGCUACCAGAACUUGACUCUUCAGUGGAAGAACUCGCUCCAAUGCAGCAUUCGAGGGAAGUGGGCACCUGGUCUCGUUGAAUAUGCGAGCUGUAAUGACCAGAGAUUGGCCGUUAAGCUGCCAUGACCAUAGGUAGGCAGUGCCAAAUGAGAACUUUGCGAAAGAAAAAAAAGAUAGCUAUUGUAGGAAGUGGGCUCUUUGCUCCUUCCCAGAUCAGACUAGCUUCGUAGUUCCGUGGAUUCGAACGAAAGUGGUUCCAACGAACCGGGUAAGGUAUGAAGCAGCAUUAGCCUCAGAAUCCACAUCUGAAUCCCCCUACGAAGCAGAAUAAUCCGCAUCCGAUUGCUUCAUAUGAAUCAUACAAAGCAGCUGAGGCACCCCAAGCGGCAGACUAGGAUACCCCUUUUUUCAGGAAGGAAGAACGAGCCUUUUUCAGCCUGACCCGAUGAAGAGGGGAUUUCAAAGAGAGGGUUAUAGCCCUACCAAUACGUAGAGUAGCUCGGUAAUGAAUAGCCCAAGCCUCCCUUACCUUGUGAAGUGAAGCAACCGAAACCCUAUUUUCUUUGCUCUCCUUUGGAUGAUCAGUCUCCCAGUAAUAUCCCAAGUAGUGAGCGGUCCAAUUGUCUGGCGGAAGCCUGUUGCGCAUGAUUCUUUCUUUGCUAUGAGAGUGAAAGCUGCUCAGAAAGGUCUCUUUAGUAAGAGACUAUGCCUUUGACGUUCUUCAUUGGCUUUGGUGCGGGUCAUCCCCUUCUAAGGCAGAUCCGUAAUAAGCGAUGGGAUUCCAGGUGAUGAAAGGAGGUGUAAUUGAGUAAGUGAGAAGUUAGGUUCUCGGAUAGGAAUGAAUCCCCGGAAGGACACCUUGCCUUGCUCUGUAGCCGGAAUAGAUAGAUUCAAGGGGCGAAGGAAAGUCGGAUGAAAGUGAUCCUAAUGGAAGUGGAAAGAGACGACCGCUUCUGCCUUUUGUUCACAUGAAAGCAGAAGACCAAGGGUGAAACCCUCCUACCAACAGACUUUAGUAAGUAGUUGGCUUAGUCAGUGAAUUCGGUGAAUAAGUGCGUGGAACUCUUGCUUGUUUGAUGCUUUCCAGUGGUAGUUGCGUCAAGCAGCAUAAGCACUUACCUGACCAUGAGUGUAGAGUGUAAUAGGGCCAUUUUCUCUUAUGAAAUGGGGAGUCUGAUCCCCAAUAGGAAAAUAAAAAGAGAACCAAUCUCAUUCGUGACACACGUUGAUUCGAACAAAGUACUUCUUUACUCUUUCUUAUUCUUAGGAGAAUUACUCCCACUCCGAAAUAGCUGCAAUGCUGGCAUGCUGAUCCGCGAUUACUAGCGAUUCCAACGAAUUAAAGUAAAGGCUAAUGGCCUUAACUACUUAAACGAAUCAAUCUCCCACUUCUCUACUUUAGUAAAAGGAGGGUCUUGCUGUUAAGCUAUCUUUCUGCUGCUCAUCGCUUUCAGACCUAUCUUUGUGCUUACACUACAAUAUUAUGCACCUUCCCAGCUUGGGUCCUCGCUUUGGGAUGAAUUCCUUCUACAUGUUGAGAGGAUCCGAGCCUUGAAUCAAGACACAGGAGUUUGAUCAAAUUGGGCGUGGAACGAGUAUAAGGAGUUGGAGCAAAGACGACUAACAACCCGUCUAUAACUGAUGAUUAUCAGUUCCCAAGCUCCGGCCUAAACACAACUGCCUUUUCAACCCACUUGUACGACUCGGUUACAACUCUCAGGUCCCAAUUGACACCUGAUUUCUGAUAGAAUACCAGGUCUGCUCUGCUGUAAAAGCUGGCAUUUAUGGCACUGCUGCCACCAAGAAUGCUUUCCCCACUCAAGGGAGCUAGUCUCUCUCUGGUUCCAAUAUCGUAUAAAAGAAAGGAAAUGGAAAGUCAUGAGCUUCUCUUCUCCUUCCGGAAAGGCACAUCCAUUGUGGGGAAAAGGCUUGGAGCUUAAGCAGGACCUGUGAGGGGGCCUAGCUAACUUUCUUCUCUGUUGAGCCAUUUCUUAUGCCUGCACGCAUUACAAGUCAAGACCUUUACGCGGGGCGGCAACUUUUAACCCUUCUUUCUAUUAAAGAAUUCCACAGGGACUGAUUGAGAGCUCGUUCUUAAAGAAGGCAUGUCCUAGGAAGGAGGUCAGGUCUAGCAGGCAGAAAGGCAUUGAGAGCUCCCUCAGCAACUACUAGUUCAACACCAGACUAAACGGUUGGAAGUAAGGCAUCAGAUGGUAGACGGAGAGAACUAAUAGACCUUUGACUCAUUUACUCACGGGAACUACUAGAGUUAUAAAGUCUCAGUCUCACGAUCCGAUCCGUCAAUAACCGAUCAAAACCACGAUCAAUAGAAGAAGAAGAAGAUUUGUCCAAUAGCCGACUAUUGAGAAUAGAUAGACUCCCUACCUAAAUACGUAAAGGUAAAGCUAUCACUACUUGCCAGUGGUGCCCAUUCGCUAUUCAGCAUUCGUUGAUAAUUGAUCGACCCGCUUGGAGAUUGGAGUACUACUGAAACAACUUCGUGGGAGGCGGGUUGAUCUUGGUUUACAAUCCUCUUGAGGAGCAUUCAAAGAUCUGUAAAUCCCUUACAUUAUGUCAUUUCGAGGUAGAGCACCCAAGUGAUAGAGAAUCUGGGAAUGAAAAGAAAAGGACACGCCGAUAGCAGAAGUGGUGUUGCUUGAAACCGGUGCUGAAUAAGUGGUACUGCUGGCGCCAAUAAAUCAUGAACCCCUUCUUGUGGAGCCAAUCGAUCAUGAAAGACUUCGUUUUGAGUCGUACCCUUUCUGUUACUGGAUUAGAGGUCUUCUCGCGGGUAGGGCUCUCCUAGCGAAGAGGAAGUCUUCUUUUGUACCGUGGUAUAGUUUCAUUUGUGCUCUCUUUGAACCCCGCUUGCUUGGCAGAGUGUCCGUUGUGCUCUUCUGGUCAAGUCCUUUGCUCAAUUGUAAUUCUAGAGGAUCAUGAUAAGACCUACUAAUAAAGUUAAAGUAAGUAGUGCUCUCGAAACCGAAUCUGAAGCUUGGCACGAUCCUUUUUCGUAGACAGACUCAGAAGGCAGCCUCGGGCAGAAGCGUCAUAGACUUUAAAGAAUAGGAAGGAGAUCCCGGGCAGCUCUCAACUUAGUCCCCAGCGUCGGGCACAAAGAAAGAGACUUUCUAGAACAACCAAGGCACGAACAGGAACGAAUGGAUCUUACCUGACCAACAAGGGCACAUGAACAAUGGAAUGGAAUAGAUGGAUCUGACCUACUUUACGAGCGUACGAGCUCUCACUGGUGGGCUUGGAUCCAAUCGAAAGGUAUUAGUGAAAGGGGGACUUGCAUUGCCAAAGGUGGAAAUAACUGGGAUCACCUGUGGAUGUCUCACUAGAAGAGGAAUUGGUAAUAUUCAAUAAGAUAAAGAGAGUCAGCAUAGAAGUUGCUUGGCGGAUAUUCCCGGUGGGUUACCUGGGACUGAUCAACAGGGACUACAUAGCAUUCCUUUGACUAAUUGGGGUCUUCCACCCAUCCUUAUACACCUCUUGGUACAUAUCCAGGUCAAAGAGAAUGGAACGUAUCUAGAGAUCUACUUAAGCUAUUAAGGGAAUCCGGGAAGAGAGGGAAUCGAUGACUCGUUGUCGGUGUUUAGGGAAAAGGAUGGAUUACCCAUCGCAUCGUCCGGCGAAGGAUUUAGAUUAGAAGGAUGAAAGAGAGUUCAUACACAGAUUGAGUAGAAUUGCCCGAAACCCUGGUCAAUCAGUAACAACUGAUAAUCGAGCAGUCCCUCACAACCAAAGAUGAAUGAACAAGGAGGCCAUUUCCGGGGACAAAGCAAAUAAGGCUGGAGAAGCCCCCCUCGGCCUAGCAAGGAAUUGGGUGGACUGACUUCCCGAUGAUCAGAUUUUUAAUAGAAAGCUAGGGCUUGGAUCGUGGUAGAAAGCUAGGUGAUGGCGAAGGAGAAAGCCAGAAUGAAAGGCAAAGCGUAACAGGAGGAGGGAAGAAGACUUGAAUGUAUCCCUUAUUUUCCUUUUUAUGCCACUCCAUUUCUGUGAAAGAGAUUGAUUGUCGGCCCUUAUACAUGAAAGGGCAAAUGUUUGAUGUCGAAAUCCAGCGCAUCCUGAUAGAUCCCGGGUCUGCAGUGAACCUCCUGCCAUAUCGAACUCUUCGGAGGGUUUACAACUAACGAUUUGGAGCAUGAAGAUGUGACGGGUUUCAAUCAAAGCGAGUCUAAUACAAUGGGAUCGAUCACUCUCCCGCUUGGAGAGCUUGAGACUAAGGUGUUAUUCUAUUCUAUGUGAUUGACGUCGACACCUCCUAUCGCGCUUUACUUGGGAGACUGUGGCUUCAUAAGUACAAGGUCGUGCCCUCCACUCUCCAUCAGUGCCUCAAAUAUGUUGAGAAGGGCUCAGAGAAAAGAAGAUAUGGGGACUUGCAUGCAUCCCUUUUCUGUGCUGGAAACGCGUUAUACCGACGCUAAGUUCUACUUUUAACUAAACGCGAACAGUCGGCAUUGCAAGCAGAUAGAGAGCCCCCGCCCAUUUGAGUCGUUGCGAGCCGGAAAGCGUACCGGCAGUUUGAGCCGCGAAAGGGCCGCAAUUAAUUCUAUUAUUAUUUUAUUAUAUUAAUAUUAAUUAAUUAAUAUAAUAAACAAUAUAGAAUAUUCUCUAUCUAUCUAUAAACAAUAAGAAAAUCCUUUUUUUUUAUUGUUCAUUCCUGGGAAGAGGAAGAAGCAGAUAGAGCAAAGACCUACCCUUUCCGUCCGCUCUUUCCGAAGUGAGCAAAUUGCAUGUAGAGAUCCGUAGGGGCUUAUAGUUUAAUUGGUUGAAACGUACCGCUCAUAACGGUUAUAUUGUAGGUUCGAGCCCUACUAAGCCUACCACCCCUUCUCUUCACCCGAAAUAAGGAAGUCGAAGUCCCCGCCACCCUGCGGAUCUCAAUCUAGCGACGGCACCUGGAACCACACUGCUGCCGCUGCCCUUCGGGCACGCCUCAUACGCUUACCACUCACCUACGCUCUUGCAGCAUGCCCCCUUCGGGCAAUACGGCUUUCGUAAUACGCGAAGCAGCUGAGCGAUAGCUCUGCUAUAUUCUCGCGAUGGCGAAGAAUCGAAGCGAAGAGCGAAGUUACAACUUUAGGCGAGGCGAAGAGCGAUAGCGAAACCCUUAACUGAAGUCUUAUUGUUCUCGAACAACGAUCAUUCAUUACGGCCGGCCCGACCAAAGAAAAGACUGAAAGCCCGGCCCGGGCAAGCUAGAUUAUGGAACUGAUCUGACCAAACUAGGUCUAAUGGAACAAGAUCUCGAUCUCAAUAAGGAAUUGGAAUCUGGAAGGGCCGGCAAGAAUAAAUGCGAUAGCGAGGUUGAGCAGUAGCGAGGGGCGAUAACGAAGCAAAGCAACCUUUAAGAGUAAGAGAGAGUAGAUGCGAAGGUUCGGAUCGAAGAUCUUCGCGAGACGGCCCAUGAAUCUCGAGAAUCGAGCGCGGGGCUUGAAGACCCUACCGCAUUCCGGCCCCGGGGCCCUCAAUUGGUCCUUUCUCUCUUCUCUUUUACCAGUGAGUGGUGAGUUUCCUUUUUCUUUAGGUGGGUACCUCGUGGAUUCAGAGUUUGUUCCAACAGCUGCCACACGUGAGAUCCUGAUCGUCUUUCUCCCAGUGUUGUUGCCUGCUGGGGGAAGGAAGGAAAGAAUCCAACCAGGACCGGAGAAGGUCAAAGUCUGGGCCUGAGAGGGCUGCCUGGUUUCGCCUACGCUAUGGUUUCACAAGAUUGAACCUUUUUUGUUCAACCGAAGUUAAGGAGUUCCAGAGUACGAGGGAAUGGGCUUUCAUUCCCCGGACCGCCUCAUCUAUGUAUUCGGCGCCUCCCCCCGAUUGCUUGAAGAUGCGCGCGCGAUACGAUAAGGGGCCCCUGGGAAGAACCAAUGAAAAGCCAGGGUAGUAGAGCCUCGGAGCCGGCCCAAGCGAAGAUCGGCACUCGAAGGCUUGAGGAGCAGCCCGCAAAAGGGAAAGCCGUGGAGACGGCAGACUCGCCAGUCAGGCACACCGUGAGGCUGACUACAGCAGACCGGGAGGUUACAAUUCUUUCCUGUUUCAAUUUCCGGGAGUGAAUGUAGGAAGUGCAGACGGUGGAUCAGGUGUGAACAUUCAACCAAAGGCGUCUUGGGGAUCGGCAAUAGCUAAGCAUUGCGGCCAUCACAGUUCAAGCUACGUAUGGCUGGCGUACAACCUACGGCCAAAACAAAAGCAACAAAAAAAUAUGCUGGUACCUUUCCUUUAGUCCAAUCUUAGACAAAGAGCAGCAAGUAGGCGAUUUGUUCGCUGGGCGAUUCAGCUAGCCAAAUCGCACUAAUGCAAUUCAUUCGCCCUACUAUCCUACAGAGCAAUUCAAACUCUUACUCUUAGUAAGACUAAGGCUAGGGCGACUCAUUCUAUUCUCUCUGAGGUCAGGUAGGUGAAGCGUCUAGCUUAGGGGGGCGCGUCAAAUCGCUGAAAGGCCUUGGUGAUUUUACAAUUUGGUAAUCUGAAGAUAGAAAACCGCAAUGAUUCCAAACUUCACUUCAAUAGUCUCGGAUCCAUGCUGCCCCGACUCCAAACUCGAUGUUUGUUAACUAAGCGGGACAUUCCCAAACUCUUUCUUAGAAAACCCCUUUCUCGUUCCCUUGUACAGCCUUUACUUUACCAGGCUUUUUUCAUUAUGUGUUCUUUUCGGGAGGUUAGGAGUGAGUUAAGCCAAUGCGUACAAAUAGAUAGACCAGGUUCUUUUUUUGUUGAGGUCAAUCUGUCUAUGAUUAAGAGUCUAGGUGGUGUUGAAGCCGGCUUAUUCAUGCCAGUCAUCUUAGAGCUAUGAGUCAAAACAAUGUUCACCAACUCUUCCAUAGAAAUCUUGUUCAUAUAUCGAAAAUUCAAAUAUGAGUUUCAAUUGUUAUAGUGUUUUGUCUCCUCCCAAGGUAGCAUUGCCGAGCGGGCGAUCCCUGUCUUGUUUAUCCAGCUAGCCUUUCCUUUCUCCGUGGUACUAAAAUUCUAUUUGUGAGAGCUCCUUGCGGCUCGGCUACUUUUUUUGAAAGGUAAGGUGGGACCUUAACCUUAAACUUAAAGUUAAAGCAUUAUCAAUAAAGAUGCCUAUCUAUAAAGCGCUGGGUUGAAGAGGGAACAAGUCCCACAGAGAGAUGAUAAGUGGGAGAAAGAGUGAAAUUCAAAUCUCUUCUGGAAUGGAAGACCCCCAUCCACUGACUCCAAGACUGCAGCCUAACACCCAAGUUAGCCUGACGGUCAGCUAAAUAAGUCGCUUCCCUCUUCACAUGAUUAAUUUGAACUAUAUAUAAUAUAUUGAGAAAUGUUUUCUCAGGAUAAAGCAUAGGCGCCAAGGUUCUUUAUUUUUACCAUUCGCCCAUAUAAUCAUGUUAAGAGAACCUUUGAUAUGAUGAUUUGAAAAGAAUCAAUAGUUUGGACAAAACUAUGGCCAUGCAGGAGAGUUUCUGCUUUUGCAAAGGUUGCUUCUUUAAUCCCUAGAGUAGACCCGUUCAAUUUCACAUGACAGCACCAUUGUGCCAUCUCUUAUGACCCCACCAUAAUCCGAAUUCCUAGAGUAGCCCUCCCUACUCCUUACUUUAACAAGUAAGCAAGUAAACUACCUUCAAAGUUCAUCUUGAUGUGAUUUGAAGAGGAAAUUGCCACAAGAUUGAGAUAGAUAUGUUUGAAUUUCUUAUUAAAAAAAAAAAAGAAAAGGCUCCCUAUUUAACUGCCCAUCCAAGAGCAUUUAGCUUCAUAAUACUUCUUUUUUUCUUUUUUUUUUUUUCUAUAGACUGCAUAAAUCUUAUCUUCUAGCCCCAAAAAACAAACGGAGGAAAAUCUCUUUUGGCAGCUCAAUCCUCAUGGUAAUAAUUAUGCCAAUUCUGCCUAAAAAUCUCUUCAGGUGAUCAAGAGGGCCCCCUUUUUCAGUAGAUGAGAUUAGGAUGAAAGGUAUAUUAUCUCAACGCUUCUUUUCUCUGGCUUGCUCUUCAAAAUUCCAUUUUGGCCCGCGGUAAUGUAAUCAGGAUUUCAUCUCCUAAAUUCUAUUUUUUUUUCUAUGAAAGCAAGAGAUGGAAAGUGUUGUUUUAAAUUCUGCCUUAUUCCAUGAGAUCUAGAAGCACUUCUGCAACCCUCUCUCUCUCCAGCGCUCUUUUUUUUUUAUUUUACUUUUUUCAAAGGGGAAUGAAGGCCUUCCUUAGAAGUUGUCGCUCGAUCGAAAGGAUAUAACACAUACGAAACCUUAGCUUCGCUGACUUUCGGAGGUAUAACCUUCGCCACGACAUUAGUGGCUUAGCUCUUCGCGCUUCCCGCAGGCUUUUUUUAUAGAGAGAGAGUAAGGGGGCGGUACGGAAGAUUGGUCCGCUCCGCAAAGCUGAGCUUUUCGGUUCGCUCCCUCUAUGCGGUCGGCCUUCUUACCAGUCUGCCUCCUUUCUCUUUUUGGAAUAUAACAAUGCCAGCUUUGCUUGCGUUCUUCACCGGCGCUCGCCGGAUGUAUCACUUAUCCCGCUCCUAAGGUAAGGAGUCUUCUCUGUGUUAUAAUCUUUACGGGAAUGAAUCGCAUAUGUUGGUUGAGAAUUGCUCGGGAAUUCAUUGAUAGUUAGUUUGCCAGGUUCUAGGGGGGCUACUCUUCUUUUUUUUUUUUUUCGAUCGAGCCGCUCUCCCUCAUUCCACUCGUCCAGCCUUCUUCAAGAACUUGUACAAUUGAUGCCACAAAGAUAGCCAACUCUAUUAUCAAAUAAAUAAGGAAACGGGCGACGAUUUGGCACCAGAUAUCCGGAGGUGUGGAAAGAGCAGCUGUGAGAAGCGGAAAAACCAUCAAAAAACGACGAUUGUUUGUGGAGGUUUCCACGGAAAGACCCCUUGGUUCUGGCAAACAGAUCACAAUUACAGGUACCUGAGAGCAUACCGAUGGAAUGAACGAAAUACGAACAGUUAACAUAAUAUAGUCAUAGAUCUUAGGUUGUAACUUGAUCAUGAGCGAAUUUGUUGAUGUUGCACCCACGAAGUAUGGAAAGUGCCAAACAUUGGGAACUACCCGGGGAGGAGUUAGGAACAGGAAGAAGGAAAAGCGAGAACCACUUAAAUGGAGGAAUCGAUUGUAUUUCGCCCUUUGUUCCCCAUAGCAACUAGGGAUCAAAAAGCACCAAAUUUGAUAACUUAUUAAAGGAAAGACGAAGUAAGAGCAUGCUAUUGAAGACGUUGCAACAUAUGUCGGGGGGGCCUCCGUUAAUUGUGUACGAACAAAAUACGAGUCCAAAGGCAGGGUAAGAAAGGGUUUAGUUAAUGGAGAUAUUAACUCUUCCGGGAACCAGUAACACGUAAACCAUGUCAAACCAAGACCGAUCAAUAUCCGAACGGAACGGAUUCGAACUUCUCCUAGAAGAGUUUCCGGUGCGAAAUGAAAUUCAUAGGAUAUAUAUAUGAGUAAUUCAAAGGAAAAAUAGAAAUAUUUGAUUAGAAGCCCCGAGCCCGCGCAGGAGAGGAAAGGUUGGUUGCACGUUUUCCGGGUGGGAGUAAUGCCUCCCUGCCGAUUACUUUCUCUCUCUCCCGAGGACGAUGGAUCUCGAACGGAAAUAAAUGAGCGGAACUACCCGACUCUGCGAACUCUGGCCUUCGGAGCACAUCCUAUCAUUUUUCUUUCACUUUUUUUGAGAUCGUUGUGACCUAGUGCAAAAAAAGUCAAGCGAAAGAAGCCCGCAUACCCACUCUUCUUUCCCCCCCCUUGCCUUGGGCUUGGGGGGCCUCGUUGUCACCUUUGGCUCCAACUACUUUACUUUUAGCUUGCUGCCAAAGUUUCCCUUACUCAAACAAACCAAAACUCAAACAAACCAAACCUCAUUUUUUGAUUUCAAGCGCCCAAAAUCGACCCGGCGGGUCUCGUAUAAAAACAGAAUUACUACAAGUUAAGUAACAAACUCAAAACGGAAUUGGAAUUCUGGGUCAACGAUAAUCUUUUAGAAGACAUCUUAUACAAUCGUAGAUUUCAUUAUUUAUAUCUCCUUCUUUUUUGACUAGGUUGAAAGCCUGUAGUAAAUUUUUGUGGACCGAAUCAAGCAAGUUCAUUUUAGGGGCGGGUAUCAAUCCGGCAUCCCGGAGAAGUUCAGAGGCUACCUUAUUUAAGAAACUGGGUGUUUCUAUAUAAGGGUGAGCUCCGGGGAACUCGGCAAUUCUAUUUUUUUUUUAUUUUGUUAAAUACGCGUCCACUUCUUGAAAUACAAGAUUGCGUAAACAAUCCUCCUUCUCUUUUCUUUUAUCCUUUCUGUUAUUAUUAGAAUUUGAAGAAGAUGAGGAAGAAGCGGGCGCCUGAGAAGCAUUUAGAUUUAGCAUGUGGUUGAUUACAUAAAUGGGGAACUGCCUUAAAGCGCGAACCAAGAUCCAUGAUACGAAAACCAAAAUAUAGAAAGUAAAGAAGAAAAGACAUAACCAAAAAAAUUGUGUAAAAUAAGUGAAUUUAUCCAGUUG